UGGGGAAUAUUGCGGCAAUGGGGGAAACCCUGACGCAGCAACGCCGCGUGAUUGAAGAAGGUCUUCGGAUUGUAAAAAUCUUUUAUCAGAGACGAAGAAGUGACGGUAUCUGAUGAAUAAGCUCCGGCUAACUACGUGCCAGCAGCCGCGGUAAUACGUAGGGAGCGAGCGUUAUCCGGAUUUACUGGGUGUAAAGGGCGAGUAGGCGGAUCGGUAAGUCAGAUGUGAAAUGUCGGGGCUCAACCCCGGAACUGCAUUUGAAACUGCUGACCUUGAGUGAUGGAGAGGCAGGCGGAAUUCCCAGUGUAGCGGUGAAAUGCGUAGAUAUUGGGAGGAACACCAGUGGCGAAGGCGGCCUGCUGGACAUUAACUGACGCUGAGG
rnacentral:rRNA from 1 species